AUGUAGGGAUUUUGGUUUUUGAUUGAUAAGAGAAAUGGUGAAGUUGAUUUGUUCAUUGUGAUUGAUAGAUUGUGGGAUGAGUCACUUUGCCUAAAAAACUACUCACCUUACCAAAGAGCCCUCAUUACAACCCAAGAAAAGCCCUUGUUGAUCAUUAUUUAUAACACAUUGAAGUAUAGAGAGUUAGGAUAAAUGGCAAGCUUAUGGUAGAUUGCAUACAUUGUUUCAAUUUGAGUGCAAACACGUCCAAUCUAAACACUUGAGAGUUGAGUGCAUCAUUGAAACAUCCAC
rnacentral:lncRNA from 1 species